AAUGAAGAGAAAGUGAGCUGACCUCCUUCUUAGCUUGUAAGCCUCAUUCUUGUUAGUUGGCAAUACUUGGUCUAUGACGUAUGCAAUGAUUGGCUGCAUCCAAGUGGGAGUUCCAAUGAUCUACAUUACAGUUGGGGCCUCGAUCGAAGGUAAGAGGAGGUGCUCAAUAGGUACUACUUUGAGUAGCUCUGAGUCCUUACUGCUAGCUAGCUUCGAGAGUGCAUCCGCAUGUGCAUUUUCGAUGCGGGAGAUCUGGAUCAACUCAAACUUUUCGAAGGAUGGGAUGAGGUUCAUCACCAUUUUCAGAUAGGAGGCCAUCGUUUUGUCUUUGGCUGAGAAGUUACCAUUGACCUGGCUAACAACCAGCUGGGAGUCACUAUUGAUGAGUAGCCUCUUUACUUACAUUUCGGUGGCCAGCCUGAGGCCCGCAAGAAGUGUCUCAUAUUCUGCUGCGUUAUUGGUAGCUUUGAAUUCAAACCUUACUGUCGAGGUGAGUUUGUGACCUUCGAGGCUGAUGAGGACAACCCUAGCGCCGGAGCCAACAUCUCCAGCUGACCCAUCAACGAAAAGAUUCCACGUGGGGGGUUCGACAGGUUCCAUGAUUUCAUCCACCUCGGUUAGGUUGGCAAAUUCAGCCACAAAGUCAGCUAAGGCUUGCCCUUUUAUGGCUGCCCUAGCCUUGAACACAAGGUCAAAUUCACUGAGUUCCACCGCCCAUUUCAAUAACCUUCCAGAGGCGUCGGGCUUUUGGAGUAUCUACCUCAGGGGAAAAUUUGUCAGUUUAUGGAUGGUGUGAGCUUGGAAGUAGGGUCUCAAUUUCCUAGAGGUCGUGAUUAAAGCCAAAGCGAGCUUCUCCAUAUCGGGAUAAUGGUUUUCCAACGAUAGGAGCGCU
rnacentral:lncRNA from 1 species